rnacentral:rRNA from 1 species
AUUGAACGCUGGCGGCAUGCUUUACACAUGCAAGUCGAACGGUAACAGGCCGCAAGGUGCUGACGAGUGGCGAACGGGUGAGUAAUGCAUCGGAACGUGCCCAGUCGUGGGGAUAACUACUCGAAAGAGUAGCUAAUACCGCAUACGAUCUAUGGAUGAAAGCGGGGGACCGUAAGGCCUCGCGCGAUUGGAGCGGCCGAUGUCAGAUUAGGUAGUUGGUGGGGUAAAGGCUCACCAAGCCAACGAUCUGUAGCUGGUCUGAGAGGACGACCAGCCACACUGGGACUGAGACACGGCCCAGACUCCUACGGGAGGCAGCAGUGGGGAAUUUUGGACAAUGGGCGCAAGCCUGAUCCAGCAAUGCCGCGUGCAGGAAGAAGGCCUUCGGGUUGUAAACUGCUUUUGUACGGAACGAAACGGCUCUGGUUAAUACCCGGGGCUAAUGACGGUACCGUAAGAAUAAGCACCGGCUAACUACGUG